rnacentral:lncRNA from 1 species
AGGACUUUGAGUACUAUGUUGAAGAGGAGUGGUGAGAGUGGGCAUCCUUGUCUUGUUCCUGUUCUCAGAGGGAAUGCUUUCAGCUUUUCCCCAUUCAGUAUUAUGUUGGCUGUGGGUUUGUCAUAGGUGGAUUUUAUUACAUUAAGACAUCUACCCCUGGAGAAAGAGCCCAAUGAGAAGUAAUCUCUGAAGCCCAGAUUUCCUAAGGAUGAAGCUUCAGGAGAGGCCUUAUCAAUCCUGACAACAAACUUUUCUCGUCAAUUUAGUUUCAUUUAAUGGAAGUUUUAAAUGUGUAAAGUUCAGAAGGCUAUUAAAAUUGGUUCCAGCUAUCUAAGAUACACACACAACCACACACGCGCACACACGAAUACAAAUAUGCCUUCCCAAUCAUCUCCCAAAGUCUCAACUCAUUCCAGCGUUAACUCAAAGACCAAAAUUCAAAGUCUCAUCUGAAACAAGGUGUUGCCAAAGGAGAUUAUUAUUUGAGUCAGAGGACUGGGAGAAGCAGACCUACCCUCGAUCUGGGUGGGUGUCAUCUAGUCAGCUGCCAGUGUGGCUAGAAUGAAGCAGGCAGAAGUUGGAAAGAGCAGACCUGCUGAGUCUUCUGGCCCUCACCGUUCUCCCGUGCUGGAUUCUUCUGGCCCUCAAACAUCAGACUCCACGUUCUUCAGCUUUUGGACUCAUGGACUUACACCAGUGGUGUGCCAGGGCCUCUUGAGCCUUUGGUCACAGACUGAAGGCUACACUGUCAGCUUCUCUAAU